GCACUCAUGUUUCUUUUCAGAUCGUAUAAAUCUUUCGCCUUUUACUAAAGAUUUCCGUGAAGAGGAACAACAUGAGUUUUAUCUCAAAUUUUUUAUUACCCUGCUACUCGCAGGGUU